rnacentral:rRNA from 1 species
UACAGAGGGGGCAAGCGUUGUUCGGAAUUACUGGGCGUAAAGGGCGCGUAGGCGGCCUGUUAAGUCGAACGUGAAAUCCCCGGGCUCAACCCGGGAACUGCGUCCGAUACUGGCAGGCUUGAAUUCGGGAGAGGGAUGCGGAAUUCCAGGUGUAGCGGUGAAAUGCGUAGAUAUCUGGAGGAACACCGGUGGCGAAGGCGGCAUCCUGGACCGAGAUUGACGCUGACGCGCGAAAGCCAGGGGAGCAAACGGG